GUCAGACCUUGUUGAGAAGGAACGUGAAGCUCAUAAACAUGAUGUGCACAAAGAACAUCAUGAAGAUUCAGACAAGAUCCAUCUACAGGGCAUUGAUGAAGAAUCUCAGAAUAUGAUCAAGAAGGUUAAGCAAGCAUUGGCUGAUGGGGAAGGAUGCAGGGUGUAUGGAGUAUUAGAUGUCCAGCGGGUUGCUGGGAAUUUCCAUUUAUCCGUUCAUGGGUUGAACAUUUUUGUUGCUCAAAUGAUU
rnacentral:misc_RNA from 1 species